rnacentral:piRNA from 1 species
UGCUAAUGAAUCACUAGGCUUCCUUUCCAGG